GAUGUUUAAGGUAAAAACUAUAGUAGUUGGUUCUAAGCCAUAGAUAGGCUAGUUCUACACAUGAUUCUUUAAUUGUCUAGAUCCAUAAGCUAUCACUUUUCUGUACUGUAUUAGCACACAUUCCAAUCUUUGCUUUGAAGCAUCACUGUAGAUAGAGAAUCUACUAAUACCGUUAGGAAUAGUCAAUAUUAGGGCUGUUGUCAACUGCUUCUUUAGUU
rnacentral:lncRNA from 1 species